rnacentral:rRNA from 1 species
UGCAAGUCGACGAGAACGGGUAUUAGUUUACUAAUACUGUCAGCUAAGUGGCGCACGGGUGAGUAAUAUAUAGUUAAUCUGCCCCAAAGAAGAGAAUAAUUGUUGGAAACGACUUGUAAUGCUCUAUAUGCCUUUAUCACAUAAGUGAGCAAGGGAAAUAUUUAUAGCUUUGGGAUGAGACUGUACGGUAUCAGAUAGUUGGUGAGGUAAUGGCUCACCAAGUCUAUGACGCCUAACUGGUUUGAGAGGAUGAUCAGUCACACUGGAACUGAGACACGGUCCAGACUCCUACGGGAGGCAGCAGUGGGGAAUAUUGCACAAUGGAGGAAACUCUGAUGCAGCAACGCCGCGUGGAGGAUGACACAUUUCGGUGCGUAAACUCCUUUUAUUAGGGAAGAUAAUGACGGUACCUAAUGAAUAAGCACCGGCUAACUCCGUGCCAGCAGCCGCGGUAAUACGGGGGGUGCAAGCGUUACUCGGAAUCACUGGGCGUAAAGAGCAUGUAGGCUGGUUUGUAAGUUGGAAGUGAAAUCCUAUGGCUUAACCAUAGAACUGCUUCCAAAACUGCAGACCUAGAGUAUGGGAGAGGUA